rnacentral:rRNA from 1 species
GUGGGGAAUUUUGCGCAAUGGGCGAAAGCCUGACGCAGCAACGCCGCGUGUGUGACGAAGGCCCUAGGGUUGUAAAGCACUGUGGGAAGGGAAGAAAAAACGGGGGUUGUACCCCGUCUUGACGGUACCUUGUUAGAAAGCACCGGCUAACUCCGUGCCAGCAGCCGCGGUAAUACGGAGGGUGCAAGCGUUGUUCGGAAUUAUUGGGCGUAAAGGGCGUGUAGGUGGCUGUACAAGUCUGGUGUGAAAGCCCACGGCUCAACCGUGGAACUGCAUUGGAAACUGUACAGCUCGAGUGUUGGAGGGGGUCGCGGAAUUCCCGGUGUAGAGGUGAAAUUCGUAGAUAUCGGGAGGAACACCAGUGGCGAAGGCGGCGACCUGGCCAAUUACUGACACUGAGACGCGAAAGCGUGGGGAGCAAACAGGAUUAGAUACCCCUGUAGUCC